rnacentral:rRNA from 1 species
GACGAACGCUGGCGGCGUGCCUAAUACAUGCAAGUAGAACGCAGUUGCGAACGGUUGAGUAACGCGUAGGUAACUGCCUCAUAGCGGGGGAUAACUAUUGGAAACGAUAGCUAAUACCGCAUACUGUGAGAUGGACCUGCGUUGUAUUAGCUCGUUGGUGAGGUAAAGGCUCACCAAGGCGACGAUACAUAGCCGACCUGAGAGGGUGAGAGGCCACCCGGGGACUGAGACACGGCCCAGACUCCUACGGGAGGCAGCAGUGGGGAAUAGUACACAAGGGGAGCAAGCCUGAGGCAGCCAUGCCGCGUAUAUGAAGAAGGCCUUCGGGUUGUAAAGGACUUUCAGCGAGGAGGCGUUACUAGAAGAAGAAGCACCGGCUAACUCCGUGCCAGCAGCCGCGGUAAUAC